rnacentral:lncRNA from 1 species
UGAGCUCAGUGAUCCCUUUCUGGUGGACCUGGAGGAAAUUAUCAGCCUCCCCAUGUGCACAGCACUUUAAUGUUUGUAAGUCACUAUUCCAUCCAUCAUUUCAUUUCCUUUAAGUUAGCCUCUUUGGCCUGUUUAUCUCUCAAAUGGAAAUAAUACUUACAAAUUAUCUGUCAUAUGGGAGGAAUAUUAUAGAAUUGGUAUGAAAAUGAAGUAAGAUUAUGAAAAUGAACAUGAUUUUCUUUAAAAAUACAAUAUUUUCUAAUGGAUGUGGAAUAUCUCCACAAAUAUAUCCCAUAGGCACCUCAAACUCAAUGUAUCCAAAACAUCAUCUUCCCACUAAACCUCCUCCUUCUUUUUCCUCUGUCUCAGAGAUUGGCCCCACCACGUACCUAGUCACCUGAACCAAAAAGAUGAGCAUAAUCUUAGAAUCUUCUCCCUAUUCUUCAGGAUGGAAAAAAUUGAUAAACUCCAUCCAUAAUUGAAAAACUCCAGCAGAUAGCUCUCCAUAAUGGGAUCUGUACAAAGGCAUAUCAUCUAAGGCUGAAGUCUUUGUUGUAUUUGAAUCCUAAGUAAAAUGGACUUUGAACAUUCACCUAUCCUAAAAGUUCUCUAGACCAGGCAGAAUUUGUAGUGUCUCCAUGAGCAAAGUCUGGCUAGCAAGGGUUUUUUUUGUUUGUUGGUUGGUUUGCUUGUUUUUGUAAAUAUCAGGCCAACCCCUAGAACACUAGGACUACAGAGACUUUCCAAGAUCAGCCAGUGCAACCCCUUCUCCAUUUUACAUAUGGCAAAUGAGGGCCAAAGAGGUGGAAUGACUUGUUCAGGAUCAUUGCACAAGUCAGUGGCUGCCAAUCCAGUGGCUUUCUUCCCAUUGCACUAACAUAGAAACAAUAGCAUUAAGUUACCACUUUAGUCAUUUAAAAUGGAAGUCUGGCUGAACAAGAGAAGGCAAAGGUGUAUUUAGCAGAAACAGGAUGAUAAAACAUAUUGAAGGGGAGGAAUGGAUCAUCUAGGAAUGUUAUUAUUCCUUUGUCCUUAAAAAGGGAAUCACUGGCCAUCUCUUCUAGAGAGUCAGCCACCUGAAGGCAGGCCCUCACUGGAUGAUCACCGAUAUCCCUUCUAUCUAUGUGAUUUUAGUGAAGACUUGGAAUACCUGAGUCAUCAGUGCCAAGUCUCCCCUCUCACAAGAAGUAAACCGACUAAUGUUUCCAAAUGUGUAAUACAAUUUGGGGUCUGUUUUUCAGGUUCUGUUUCUGUGGUUGUUCUGGAAUCUGAUAUCUGUAUGUGGGUUGGAGGUGGGUCUGAGGGGUGAACAGUUGUUGACAGGGCAGGGAACCAUCCUCUUCAUCUGUGCGAUGCUGAUGUCAUUUACUUAAAUAAGGGCUAAGAAGUGUCCAUUGUAUGUUGUGACAAGGUCAUUUGGAGUGGAGCAGAGUGCAGUGAUGGGAGUUGAUGGCAAUGGUCCGAAGGCUGAGUCUCAGCUAUGGGGAAGUAGAAGACCAGCAUAGCCACAUGACAGACUCAUUCGGCUCCUGAGGAAUAAGACAACCCAGGCAGUUGCUGCUGAAGAAGGCCACACUGUACCCAGAUGUUGAGAAUCCCUGUGGCUAAGACAGAGGAGAAUACAGCAUUAUAAUACAUUUUGGACUUUAAUUUCUCUGGACAUAGAAAUUCUAAGCUUUUGACUUUCACUUACAAGGAGAAGAUAUUUCAGUUUUGA